UACGUAGGGGGGCUAGCGUUGUCCGGAAUCAUUGGGCGUAAAGCGCGUGUAGGCGGUCCGGUAAGUCCGCUGUGAAAGUCGGGGGGCUCAACCCUCGAAUGCCGGUGGAUACUGUCGGGCUAGAGUGCGGAAGAGGCGAGUGGAAUUCCUGGUGUAGCGGUGAAAUGCGCAGAUAUCAGGAGGAACACCAAUUGCGAAGGCAGCUCGCUGGGACGUAACUGACGCUGAGGAGCGAAAAGCAUGGGGGAGCGAACAGG
rnacentral:rRNA from 1 species